AAUCAACGCUGGCGGCGUGCCUCAGACAUGCAAGUCGAACGCGAAAGUCCCCUUCGGGGGAUGAUUAGAGUGGCGCACGGGUGAGUAACACGUAGGUAAUCUACCUUCGAGUGGGGAAUAACCCAGGGAAACUUGAGCUAAUACCGCAUAAUGCAGCGGCACCACAUGGUGACAGUUGUUAAAAGCAUUUAUGCGCUUGAAGAGGAGCCUGCGGCGGAUUAGCUAGUUGGUAAGGUAAUGGCUUACCAAGGCUACGAUCUGUAACCGGCCUGAGAGGGCGGACGGUCACACUGACACUGAAUAACGGGUCAGACUCCUACGGGAGGCAGCAGUCGGGAAUUUUGGGCAAUGGGCGAAAGCCUGACCCAGCAACGCCGCGUGAAGGAUGAAAU
rnacentral:rRNA from 1 species